UGGAGAAUUUUGCACAAUGGGGGAAGCCCUGAUGCAGCGACGCCGCGUGAUUUAGAAGGCCUUCGGGUUGUAAAAAUCUUUUCUAUGGGAAGAAAAUGACAGUACCAUAGGAAUAAGGACCGGCUAAUUACGUGCCAGCAGCCGCGGUAAUACGUAAGGUCCGAGCGUUGUCUGGAAUCAUUGGGCGUAAAGGGUACGUAGGCGGGUAAGCAAGUUAGAAGUGAAAUCCUAUAGCUCAACUAUAGUAAGCUUUUAAAACUGCUCAUCUUGAGGUAUGGAAGGGAAAGUGGAAUUCCUAGUGUAGCGGUGAAAUGCGCAGAUAUUAGGAGGAAUACCGGUGGCGAAGGCGACUUUCUGGCCAUAACCUGACGCUGAGGUACGAAAGCGUGGGUGGCAAACAGG
rnacentral:rRNA from 1 species